rnacentral:ncRNA from 2 species
ACCAGUGACACGGGGUGCCGCCACCCUCCCCGCCCACCGGGCGGGCAGACAGAGGACCGCAGCGGCUGAGAUGACACCCGUCGAACCUGUCCAGUUAGUACUGGCGAAGGGAUGUCACGGUGGCACCGC